rnacentral:rRNA from 1 species
UACGUAGGGUGCAAGCGUUGUCCGGAAUUAUUGGGCGUAAAGAGCUCGUAGGCGGUUUGUUGCGUCGGCUGUGAAAUCCCGAGGCUCAACCUCGGGUCUGCAGUCGAUACGAGCAAACUAGAGUGUUGCAGGGGAGACUGGAAUUCCUGGUGUAGCGGUGAAAUGCGCAGAUAUUAGGAGGAACACCGGUGGCGAAGGCGCCACUCUGGGCCGAAACUGACGCUGAGGAGCGAAAGCAUGGGUAGCAAACAGG